UGCAAGUCGAACGGUGAACACGGAGCUUGCUCUGUGGGAUCAGUGGCGAACGGGUGAGUAACACGUGAGCAACCUGCCCCUGACUCUGGGAUAAGCGCUGGAAACGGCGUCUAAUACUGGAUAUGUGACGUGAUCGCAUGGUCUGCGUCUGGAAAGAAUUUCGGUUGGGGAUGGGCUCGCGGCCUAUCAGCUUGUUGGUGAGGUAAUGGCUCACCAAGGCGUCGACGGGUAGCCGGCCUGAGAGGGUGACCGGCCACACUGGGACUGAGACACGGCCCAGACUCCUACGGGAGGCAGCAGUGGGGAAUAUUGCACAAUGGGCGCAAGCCUGAUGCAGCAACGCCGCGUGAGGGACGACGGCCUUCGGGUUGUAAACCUCUUUUAGCAGGGAAGAAGCGAAAGUGACGGUACCUGCAGAAAAAGCGCCGGCUAACUACGUGCCAGCAGCCGCGGUAAUACGUAGGGCGCAAGCGUUAUCCGGAAUUAUUGGGCGUAAAGAGCUCGUAGGCGGUUUGUCGCGUCUGCUGUGAAAUCCGGAGGCUCAACCUCCGGCCUGCAGUGGGUACGGGCAGACUAGAGUGCGGUAGGGGAGAUUGGAAUUCCUGGUGUAGCGGUGGAAUGCGCAGAUAUCAGGAGGAACACCGAUGGCGAAGGCAGAUCUCUGGGCCGUAACUGACGCUGAGGAGCGAAAGGGUGGGGAGCAAACAGGCUUAGAUACCCUG
rnacentral:rRNA from 1 species